GGCCACAUGGCGCAAUGGUCAACGCCUGGCUCACAUUAGUGUGGGAAACUAAUGGUGCGUGGGUUCGAAUCCCACUGUGGUCG
rnacentral:tRNA from 1 species